rnacentral:rRNA from 1 species
UACGUAGGGUGCAAGCGUUUAAUCGGAAUUACUGGGCGUAAAGCGUGCGCAGGCGGUUAUGUAAGACAGUUGUGAAAUCCCCGGGCUCAACCUGGGAAUUGCAUCUGUGACUGCAUAGCUAGAGUACGGUAGAGGGGGAUGGAAUUCCGCGUGUAGCAGUGAAAUGCGUAGAUAUGCGGAGGAACACCGAUGGCGAAGGCAAUCCCCUGGGCCUGCACUGACGCUCAUGCACGAAAGCGUGGGGAGCAAACAGG